rnacentral:misc_RNA from 1 species
AACGCACGAGACCUGCGGACCUGCGGAAGGAUCAUUAUCAAUUUACAGCGGACUUCGGUCCUGUCUGCACCCUUGUCUUUUGCGUACUAUAUGUUUCCUCGGUGGGCUUGCCUGCCGAUAGGACACUUAUAAACUCUUUUGUAAUUGCAAUCAGCGUCAGAAAACUAUAAUAGUUACAACUUUCAACAAUGGAUCUCU